ACUCCUACGGGAGGCAGCAGUAGGGAAUUUUCCGCAAUGGACGAAAGUCUGACGGAGCAAUGCCGCGUGAGUGAUGAAGGUUUUCGAAUCGUAAAGCUCUGUUGUAAGGGAAGAAUAGCAAGAAUGAGGAAAUGAUUCUUGUCUUGUACGGUACCUUACCAGAAAAGCCAACGGCUAACGUACGUGCCAGCAGCCGCGGUAAUACGUAGGUGGCAAGCGUUAUCCGGAAUUAUUGGGCGUAAAGCGCAUGUAGGCGGCUCUUUAAGUCUGAUGUGAAAGCCUGUGGCUCAACCACAGAAUUGCAUUGGAAUACUGGAGAGCUAGAAUCUUGGAGGAGGUAAGUGGAAUUUCAUGUGUAGCGGUGGAAUGCGUAGAUAUAUGAAGGAACACCAAUGGCGAAGGCAGCUUACUGGACAAGUAUUGACGCUGAGAUGCGAAAGUGUGGUAGCAAACAGGAUUAGAUACCCUGGUAGACUGUCAU
rnacentral:rRNA from 1 species